GGUUAAGCGACUAAGCGUACACGGUGGAUGCCCUGGCAGUCAGAGGCGAUGAAGGGCGUGCUAAUCUUCGAUAAGCGCCGGUAAGGUGAUAUGAACCGUUAUAACCGGCGAUACCCGAAUGGGGAAACCCAGUGUGAUUCGUCACACUAUCAUUAACUGAAUCCAUAGGUUAAUGAGGCGAACCGGGGGAACUGAAACAUCUAAGUACCCCGAGGAAAAGAAAUCAACCGAGAUUCCCCCAGUAGCGGCGAGCGAACGGGGAGGAGCCCAGAGCCUGAAUCAGCAUGUGUGUUAGUGGAAGCGUCUGGAAAGGCGCGCGAUACAGGGUGACAGCCCCGUACACAAAAGCGCAUGUGCUGUGAGCUCGAUGAGUAGGGCGGGACACGUGGUAUCCUGUCUGAAUAUGGGGGGACCAUCCUCCAAGGCUAAAUACUCCUGACUGACCGAUAGUGAACCAGUACCGUGAGGGAAAGGCGAAAAGAACCCCGGCGAGGGGAGUGAAAAAGAACCUGAAACCGUGUACGUACAAGCAGUGGGAGCCCCACCACCAAAGCAUUCUCUGGUGUUGAAGGCCCUGCAAAGCAGCAUCGCGGUGGCGGAGCGUCGUUUGCGACGCCCAACACACAAAACAAGCGGUGAGUGCUUUGGGGUGGGGUGACUGCGUACCUUUUGUAUAAUGGGUCAGCGACUUAUAUUCUGUAGCAAGGUUAACCGAAUAGGGGAGCCGGAGGGAAACCGAGUCUUAAUUGGGCGUUAAGUUGCAGGGUAUAGACCCGAAACCCGGUGAUCUAGCCAUGGGCAGGUUGAAGGUUGGGUAACACUAACUGGAGGACCGAACCGACUAAUGUUGAAAAAUUAGCGGAUGACCUGUGGCUGGGGGUGAAAGGCCAAUCAAACCGGGAGAUAGCUGGUUCUCCCCGAAAGCUAUUUAGGUAGCGCCUCGUGAAUUCAUCUCCGGGGGUAGAGCACUGUUUCGGCUAGGGGGCCAUCCCGGCUUACCAACCCGAUGCAAACUGCGAAUACCGGAGAAUGUUAUCACGGGAGACACACGGCGGGUGCUAACGUCCGUCGUGAAGAGGGAAACAACCCAGACCGCCAGCUAAGGUCCCAAAGUCAUGGUUAAGUGGGAAACGAUGUGGGAAGGCCCAGACAGCCAGGAUGUUGGCUUAGAAGCAGCCAUCAUUUAAAGAAAGCGUAAUAGCUCACUGGUCGAGUCGGCCUGCGCGGAAGAUGUAACGGGGCUAAACCAUGCACCGAAGCUGCGGCAGCGACACUCAGGUGUUGUUGGGUAGGGGAGCGUUCUGUAAGCCUGCGAAGGUGGCCUGUGAGGGUUGCUGGAGGUAUCAGAAGUGCGAAUGCUGACAUAAGUAACGAUAAAGCGGGUGAAAAGCCCGCUCGCCGGAAGACCAAGGGUUCCUGUCCAACGUUAAUCGGGGCAGGGUGAGUCGACCCCUAAGGCGAGGCCGAAAGGCGUAGUCGAUGGGAAACGGGUUAAUAUUCCCGUACUUGGUGUUACUGCGAAGGGGGGACGGAGAAGGCUAUGUUGGCCGGGCGACGGUUGUCCCGGUUUAAGCGUGUAGGUGUGUGUUCCAGGUAAAUCCGGUUCACUUUAACACUGAGGCGUGAUGACGAGGCACUACGGUGCUGAAGCAACAAAUGCCCUGCUUCCAGGAAAAGCCUCUAAGCAUCAGGUAACAUCAAAUCGUACCCCAAACCGACACAGGUGGUCAGGUAGAGAAUACCAAGGCGCUUGAGAGAACUCGGGUGAAGGAACUAGGCAAAAUGGUGCCGUAACUUCGGGAGAAGGCACGCUGACACGUAGGUGAAGUGAUUUACUCAUGGAGCUGAAGUCAGUCGAAGAUACCAGCUGGCUGCAACUGUUUAUUAAAAACACAGCACUGUGCAAACACGAAAGUGGACGUAUACGGUGUGACGCCUGCCCGGUGCCGGAAGGUUAAUUGAUGGGGUCAGCGCAAGCGAAGCUCCUGAUCGAAGCCCCGGUAAACGGCGGCCGUAACUAUAACGGUCCUAAGGUAGCGAAAUUCCUUGUCGGGUAAGUUCCGACCUGCACGAAUGGCGUAAUGAUGGCCAGGCUGUCUCCACCCGAGACUCAGUGAAAUUGAACUCGCUGUGAAGAUGCAGUGUACCCGCGGCAAGACGGAAAGACCCCGUGAACCUUUACUAUAGCUUGACACUGAACAUUGAGCCUUGAUGUGUAGGAUAGGUGGGAGGCUUUGAAGUGUGGACGCCAGUCUGCAUGGAGCCGACCUUGAAAUACCACCCUUUAAUGUUUGAUGUUCUAACGUGGACCCGUAAUCCGGGUUGCGGACAGUGUCUGGUGGGUAGUUUGACUGGGGCGGUCUCCUCCUAAAGAGUAACGGAGGAGCACGAAGGUUGGCUAAUCCUGGUCGGACAUCAGGAGGUUAGUGCAAUGGCAUAAGCCAGCUUGACUGCGAGCGUGACGGCGCGAGCAGGUGCGAAAGCAGGUCAUAGUGAUCCGGUGGUUCUGAAUGGAAGGGCCAUCGCUCAACGGAUAAAAGGUACUCCGGGGAUAACAGGCUGAUACCGCCCAAGAGUUCAUAUCGACGGCGGUGUUUGGCACCUCGAUGUCGGCUCAUCACAUCCUGGGGCUGAAGUAGGUCCCAAGGGUAUGGCUGUUCGCCAUUUAAAGUGGUACGCGAGCUGGGUUUAGAACGUCGUGAGACAGUUCGGUCCCUAUCUGCCGUGGGCGCUGGAGAACUGAGGGGGGCUGCUCCUAGUACGAGAGGACCGGAGUGGACGCAUCACUGGUGUUCGGGUUGUCAUGCCAAUGGCACUGCCCGGUAGCUAAAUGCGGAAGAGAUAAGUGCUGAAAGCAUCUAAGCACGAAACUUGCCCCGAGAUGAGUUCUCCCUGAGACUUUAAGUCUCCUGAAGGAACGUUGAAGACGACGACGUUGAUAGGCCGGGUGUGUAAGCGCAGCGAUGCGUUGAGCUAACCGGUACUAAUGAACCGUGAGGCUUAACCUU
rnacentral:rRNA from 1 species